rnacentral:rRNA from 1 species
GACGAACGCUGGCGGCGUGCCUAAUACAUGCAAGUCGAGCGGACUUUCAAGAAGCUUGCUUUUUGAAAGUUAGCGGCGGACGGGUGAGUAACACGUGGGCAACCUGCCUGCAAGACGGGGAUAACUCCGGGAAACCGGGGCUAAUACCGGAUAAUAUCUUCCUUCGCAUGAAGGAAGGUUGAAAGGCGGCGCAAGCUGCCGCUUGCAGAUGGGCCCGCGGCGCCUUAGCUAGUUGGUGAGGUAACGGCUAACCAAGGCGACGAUGCGUAGCCGACCUGAGAGGGUGAUCGGCCACACUGGGACUGAGACACGGCCCAGACUCCUACGGGAGGGAGCAGUAGGGGAUCUUCCGCAAUGGACGAAAGUCUGAAGGAGCAACGCCGCGGGAGCGAAGAAGGUCUUCGGAUCGUAAAGCUCUGUUGUCAGGGAAGAACAAGUACCGUUCGAACAGGGCGGUACCUUGACGGUACCUGACCAGAAAGCCACGGCUAACUACGUG